rnacentral:rRNA from 1 species
UAGGGAAUCUUCCACAAUGGGCGAAAGCCUGAUGGAGCAACGCCGCGUGUGUGAUGAAGGCUUUCGGGUCGUAAAGCACUGUUGUAUGGGAAGAACAGCUAGAAUAGGAAAUGAUUUUAGUUUGACGGUACCAUACCAGAAAGGGACGGCUAAAUACGUGCCAU